GCAGUUAUCUUCUGUGUUGCAUUGAGUGAUUAUGAUCAAAUGUGGGCCUAUGGUUCAGGUCCUUGUUGUAAUAAAAUGUUGGCAAGCAGAGACAUAUUUGAGACUUUGGUGAGGCACCCCUGUUUCAGGGACGCCCCUUUUGUGCUUUUGUUGAACAAGUAUGAUGCAUUUGAGGACAAGAUUAACCAGGUUCCUUUGUCCACCUGUGAGUGGUUUGGGGAGUUUAGCCCUGUGAGGGCCCAUAACAAUAAUCAGACUCUGGCUCACCAAGCUUACUACUAUGUUGCAGUGAAAUUCAAGGAACUAUAUUAUUCAAUUAGUGGGCGAAAGUUGUUUGUGUGGCAGACCAGAGCUCGGGAGCGUGCCUCAGUUGACAAGGCAUUCAAAUACAUAAGGGAGGUCCUCAAGUGGGAUGACGAAAAGGAUGAUUACACAUAUGGGAUCACUGGGGGUGAUUCAUUUUACAGUACAGAAAUCAGCUCCUCUCCUUAUAUAAGGACGGAGUAAUUGGCUAAUCCUUUAUUUUUUGGCUCUGGGAGAUUGACUGAAAUUUGAUUGAUUGAGGUAAUAAGAUGAGAGAAAUUGAGGUGAUUUAGCUUUUCUCAAGGAUCAUUCUGCUGUGUGAUCUGUUGAUUAGAGUAGGGAUUGGUUUACAAAAAUGCUGAAUCUAAUUUGAGGGUCUUCUUUUGUUUUCUCAUUUUAAUUUUUUGGGGGUUGAGGGAAUUUAUUCAUAUGUAUAGCUUACUCUGUGCACCAUAAAUAAUGCCAGCUUUUGUAAUCAUUUU
rnacentral:misc_RNA from 1 species